rnacentral:rRNA from 1 species
UACGUAGGACCCAAGCGUUAUCCGGAUUGACUGGGCGUAAAGAGUUGCGUAGGUGGUUUUAUAAGCGAAUAGUGAAAUCUUGUGGCUCAACCAUAAGGCUAUUAUUCGAACUGUAAGACUCGAGAAUGGGAGAGGUAUCUGGAAUUCUUAGUGUAGGGGUAAAAUCCGUAGAUACUAGGAGGAACACCAAUGGCGUAGGCAGGAUACUGGCCCAUUUCUGACACUGAGGCACGAAAGCGUGGGGAGCGAACAGG